GGCAUUGUGGCGAAGUGGUUAUCGCAACAGACUAGAUUUCAGUUUCCUUCGGGAGCAUCAGUUCGAAUCUGAUCAAUGUCA